UACGUAGGGUGCAAGCGUUGUCCGGAAUUAUUGGGGCGUAAAGAGCUCGUAGGCGGCUUGUCACGUCGGAUGUGAAAAUCCCGAGGCUCAACCUCGGGCCUGCAUUCGAUACGGGCUAGCUAGAGUACUGCAGGGGGAGACUGGAAUCCUGGUGUAGCGGUGAAAUGCGCAGAUAUCAGGAGGAACACCGGUGGCGAAGGCGGGUCUCUGGGCAGUAACUGACGCUGAGGAGCGAAAGCGUGGGGAGCAAACAGG
rnacentral:rRNA from 1 species